AUUGAACGCUGGCGGCAGGCCUAACACAUGCAAGUCGAGCGGAUGAAGGGAGCUUGCUCCUGGAUUCAGCGGCGGACGGGUGAGUAAUGCCUAGGAAUCUGCCUGGUAGUGGGGGAUAACGUCCGGAAACGGGCGCUAAUACCGCAUACGUCCUGAGGGAGAAAGUGGGGGAUCUUCGGACCUCACGCUAUCAGAUGAGCCUAGGUCGGAUUAGCUAGUUGGUGGGGUAAAGGCCUACCAAGGCGACGAUCCGUAACUGGUCUGAGAGGAUGAUCAGUCACACGGGAACUGAGACACGGUCCAGACUCCGACGGGAGGCAGCAGUGGGGAAUAUUGGAAAAUGGGGGAAAGCCUGAUCCAGCCAUGCCGGGUGUGUGAAGAAGGUCUUCGGAUUGUAAAGCACUUUAAGUUGGGAGGAAGGGCAGUAAGUUAAUACCUUGCUGUUUUGACGUUACCAACAGAAUAAGCACCGGCUAACUUCG
rnacentral:rRNA from 1 species